CGAAACAUGCUACCCAUUGAAUUGUGCUACUUAGCGGAUCUGCGCAUGCGCAGUCCCACAAGUUUGCACUCUGUUUCCACGCCCAUGAAUCCGUGCUACCUUGGUGCUGAGACUUCGGUUUAAAAAGCUAUGGAGGAAAGGUGGGCAGAACUAUUUAACUUUCUGUCUCUGGGUACAUACCCAUGUGGAUACAAUAAAUCCCAGAAACUAAACCUUAGGAGGUAUGCUUCCAAAUUCACAUUGAAGGAAGGAGAGCUCUUCUAUGGCAGAAGAAAAGUCAUUAAGACGAAAGAAGAUGCAAGAAAGCUCUUCAAAGAAUUUCACUCUUCUCCAAUGGGGGGGCAUUCAGGCAUCCUGAAAACGCGCAAUGCAAUGUCCUCUAGAUUUUAUUGGCUUGGCAUGACCAUUGAUAUUGACCGCUGGGUCUUGGAAUGUGACAUGUGCCAGAAGGUUGGAAAACCUUUGACUGCUACACAGCCAUUAGAGUGUAUUAAGGUUUCUGCUGUAUGGGAGCUCAUUGGCAUUGAUCUGACAGGACCUCUACCACAAACUGAGGAUGGGUUCCAGUAUAUCCUAACAGCGACAGACUACUUUUCAAAAUGGGUUGAAGCUUUCCCAUUAAAAACAAAAACAGCAGCUGAAGUGGGACGCCAUAUUUGUUCUAUUAUAUAUAGACAUGGUUGUCCUAAAAGAAUUCUCUCAGACCAGGGAAGAGAAUUUGUGAAUGAUCUUAACAACAGCCUUUGUAAAAUUUUGGGCAUUGAAAGAAGUGUCACUGCUGCAUAUCAUCCCCAACCCAAUGGCCUGGAUGAGAAAACAAAUGAUAACAUAAAACGG